UACAUAUCACUUGAUAGGUGUGGCGAAUAAAUGCUAUUGAAAGUAGGAGUGCGAAAAUUCACCUCAUCUGCUUCAAUGCAAACUUCACACGAAUUUCUCCUUUUGCGAUUACAAUAUUUUUCUGUCUAUUUUCUUUCUGCAACAGCUUCUAAACACGACAGUCAGCAAUCAACACCAUCGAACGACGACGACGAUCCUACAUGAGAACGUCUAUGUGACCACCGAACCUACAUGAAAUAGUAACCAAAUAUUCCUCCAAUUACACCCCACCGCUGCUGCCCCUUUAAACAAACUAUGGUCUUAGUCUUAAUAUUCAUUUUAAAAAAUAGUCUGGUCGUCUUUUAUCUCUUAUCUUUUACUUAGACUGCGGCCAUGCUGAGGCAUCACUUUGGAGUAUAUUAAUCAAAUAUAUCCGACCCCAAUGUUUUUAAUUAUGGUUUUAUUCUAUUGAAUCCGUUCGACAAACCACUAAGUUACGAAGUUGUGAACAAACCAACACCGGUUGUCAAGCGGUAUUGUGUACAGUCACAUCCACUUACAAGCACAGGGACACACACAUAUAUACAUAUACACGACAGACUUUCACAGUUUCCUAUUUCUUUAUUGCCCACAAGGGGCUGAACACAGAGGGGACAAACAAGGACAGACAAACGGAUUAAGUCGAUUACAUCGACCCCAGUGCGUAACUGGUACUUAAUUUAUCGACCCCGAAAGGAAGAAAGGCAAACUCGACCCCGGCGGAAGUUGAACUCAGAACGUAGCGGAAGACGAAAUACCUAUUUCUUUACUACCCACAAGGGGCUAAACACAGAAGUGACUAAUAAGGACAGACAAACGGAUUAAGCCGAUUACAUCAACCCCAGUGCGCAACUAUUAAUUUAUCGACCCCGAAAGGAUGAAAGACAAAGUCGACCUCGGCGGAAUUUGAACUCAGAACGUAACGGUAGACGAAUACCGCUAAGCAUUUCGUCUGGCGUGCUAACGAUUCUGCCAGCUCGCAGACUUUCACAGUUUCCGUCAGCCAAAUUCACUCACGAGGCUUUGAUCAGCCUGGGGGCUAGAGUAAAAGAUACUUGCUCAAGGUGCCAUGUAGGAGUGCAUCUGAAACCACGUGGCUGCAAAACGAUCUUUUUAACCACACGCCCAUGCGUGCGCCUAAAAUUGCUGAAAUCCUUUUGGAAUUCAUGUGGUUGGACCAGGGACUAAAAUCGACACUACAACUACCACAUCUGUACUAGCGACAAUGAACACAUUUUUGCUAAAAUAGUAAAUGUCUUAACAUCAUCCUACAGUUUCAGUCACGAUUGUUUCCCCUUUAACUUCAAUUUCUAGCCCCCCACCCAAAAAAAAACCUUCCGCCGAAUGACACUUUUACAACCAGUUUUCCAUGUUUUGCAAACGCAAAAUUAUAAUCGUUCUCAGAAUUGUUUUUGAUAUAAAGUUUAAGUGGUGAGUGGAUAAGUUGAUACCAUCGACCCCAAUACUUGACAGGUUCUUUAUUUUAUCAACCCUGAAAAGGUGAAAGGCAAACUUGACUCCAGCAGACUUUGAUUCAGAAAGUUAAGAGCCGGAGGAAGUUCAACAAGGAAUUUUCUCCAAGGCCCAAUCCACAUAAUUCCCAAUAAUUUGAAGAUUAUAAUAACGAACUAUUUAGGACAAUACAAACAAAGUACAGUAAGGAUUUAUAUACGUGUAAACAAUAAAAAGAACAAUAACAAAAUUUCCAAUAGUGGGAGUAACAAUUAGGGGCAAAAAUGGAACCCUACAGAUCCUGAAAUACCCCACCAUCGACAGGCACUUUUCUUCCAACCGUUCUCUUCAGUCUACGAGCCCGGGUUCAGUGAGGGUUCGCUUGAGCCAUUCUUGCCGCUUUCAACAAAUAUACUGGGAAAGCAUACAAAUAAUGAAAUUAUAUUGGACCAUGGGGCAUUAUCAGUCAUUUUUCUACUCAAAGACGAUACAAUGUUUAACUAAGAAUGUUUUUUUUCCGAAAAUGUGUUUAGAAUAUAAGUUUUCUACCUGAUUUAAAUAUUUUAUUUCUAAAAAAAAAACCCCAUCAUUUAAUCACGGGAAUCCUCACAGCAGCUCUCUGAUAUUUCCUGCCCCUUGUGCGCCCACAACUCCCUUAUGCGAAUGCUUAUGCCAAAGUUGAAAACCAUAGCUUAGAGUAGUGGCUCCACCUACAAGCUUUCUAUUAUAUAAUCAAUAGUGGCCCCAUCGUUGGAGGAUUAGACUGGCCAUCGGUGGAAUUUGAACUAAGAAUGUAAACAGAACAGACAAGUGCAUGUCCUAUGCUAGAAAGUUCUGGAAAUCCACCGGGAUGAUAAAAGACAAAGUUGAACUCGACAGGAUUUGAACCCAAAUCGAAGAGGACCAGGGCAAAUAACUAGACAGCAUUUUUACCCUGCACUCUCGCAACUCUACCAAGCCCGCACCUUAUAAUGAGGAAUUAUUGCGAACGUAAUACGCACACGGACGCGCGUUUUGUGGGCGAAGGAAGACUUAAUUAAAUCGACCCAGGUAAAUUACUGGUAUUCCUUAUGCCGACAUUCCUCCACAAGUCGUAUUGUUGAAGGGCACGAGAAGACACAGGUAAGACUUGAACUCGGAAUAUAAAGGGACGUAAGUAACCAAAUACAGCAGAUCAUUUUGUUCGACACCCUACCAAUGAUAAACUACGAUGAUUUCUAUCAAAAACAUAAAGCUGAGCGAUUGUAGUCAAUCAUAUUGACCCAAGUACUUGAAUAUAAAUUUAUCUAAAAAAAAAAAGGGUCUCUUAAUUAUUAACAAUCAUUUAAUUGUAACUAUUUGUAUCAUUAAAAAAGCUAACAUGUCUUAAUACAUUGCAUAAUUUCUGCAUCCGCAUCACUUUGCUUUUAUAGAUAACUUUGUUUUUGUUUAUCAUCACAUAUUUCUAACCCGUUUGUUUACAUGUCAUUGUAUGAAUGAAUGGGCCCUGUUGGCAAAUAAAGUGGAAAGAAUUAUUAUUAAAGGUUAGUUUUGCUUCUAGUACUUCCGGGUCCGAAUAAUGAAAUACCAUCAGUCAAGUACAAAACUCAGGAAGAAGUUGGAAACUAAAUACUUUUUUAAGGUGUUGUAUUCGUACUGCCAUCUCAGUAGCCUGUAACGGUAUUUGAACUCGGAACGUAAAUUGUUGUAAUAAAUUCCGCAAGGUACCAUGUCAGCCGCUCUACCGAAUUGUUAUCCAAUCACCACCUUUCACUGUUAUCUAUUGAUAUCAAGAGUGAGAGAAAGAGAGAGAGAGAGACAGAAAGCCUCUGCGCGAGCGUUGGACAUGCUAGAAGUAGCAGUUAAAUCUUUUCCAACAUGCGUCUCUACAGUCUUUAAGGGGUUGGGGAAAAAACACAUUACAUGAGGUAGUCCUGAAUAAGCUAUGGCUGAAAAAGAACAAAAAAAAAAUGACGCUAUUCUCACGGCUGGAAUGCUUUUAAUCGUAGAUAUGCUCAUUCGGAGUUAACCCGCGAGUUAAAGACUAAUAUCAGUAACAACCAUAGAUAUUAACUUCUUUAUAUUGGUCACAAAACCACAAAUUAUGACGGAUGAUUGUUACCAAUUAAAUCAAACCGCAAUAUAUAACUGGUAAUUAUUUCGUCGAAUGCACCAAAAUGAUAUAUAAAGUCUGCCACGGCUGAGAUUUGAACACGGAACGUAAGGGGGUGUAAAUUAAUACUGCAAGAUAUUUUGCAUGUUGUCCUUUCAUUCUACUAUUUGACUGCCUUUCCUUGCUAGCUAUUAUUAAUAUUGAUUUUUGUAUAAUAUUGACACGCAGCUACAAUUUAUAGGGGAGAAAACCAUGGAAUUCACUCGACCACGGUCUUUUACUGGUAUUUGUAUGUAUCGAACUCCGGAAGGUUAAAAGGUACCGCAGAACCCGGGCUAGGUUUGAACGCGGAACUUUAAAGGGACGCGAGGAACAUCGCAUGUUUGCUAUCCAACAGCCCGUGUAUAUCCAUUAAACGAUAUAAACAUUCCACGCGGAUUUAACUCACGGAAAGAAUACAAGGAAUAAAGGAGAAAAAAAAGGAAAAAGAAAAGAACGAGAUAUGAUCGUCUGCGUCAAACAAUAUUUGCAAAUGAAGAACAAUGAGAGAAGAAAAGAAAAGAAAAGAGACAUAGAAAGAAAGAUAGAAAGAAAAGAAAAAUUACACUCACGCACGCACAGACACACGCACACGCGCAUUCAUACUCGCGCGCGUUAUGGAGUUAGAGUGUUAAAUGUUUGUACUUACGAUGCAGUCAUUGCCAGCUGUUCAUUUUGCUCUCUUCGUUUAUUAUUAUUAUUACUAUUAUUAUUGUUAUUAUUAUUAUAGUUAUGAUUACUAUUUGUUUCUUUUCGUUACUUCCACAUUACUUUUCAAUCAGACGGACAAGCGAAAAUUAAGCCGGAGCGAAAGAGGGGAGAAGAUAAAUGCUUGUUUUUAAUGUAGACAUCUUUCUCUAUGUGUGGACGUGUACGUAGGUGUAUGUGUUGUGUGCGACCUAUGUUUGCGUGGACGGUUGUAUAAUAGCUAUGUGUGCGAAAGUGUAUAUGUGUGUUUGUGCAAACAUGUAUGUAUGUGUGUGUGUGCAAAUGUAUGAGCCUGUGUGUGUGUGUGUGUGUGUGUGUGUAAACUUUUAGUAUUUAGUGCAGUAAAAUUAUCUGUUUCUCCGUCUGUUUGUUAAAAGCCGUGUAUUGCAUGCAUAUGUCUGUGUGUGUGUGUGUGCGUAUGUUCGUAUUUGUAUGUGUAGGUUCGAACACGUGUAUGUCUUAGCAUAUAUGUAUACGUGCGACUGCAUAUGUUUGGCUUAUGGUUUUCCGUAGACACACUAAGACACAGUAUGGGAAAAACUUAAGAAUAAGUCCGUGAUGGAAUAUAGGUAUGUGUGCUUAUGUGCAUACAUGCGUACACUCGUGCAUUCGUGCUUGUUAGAUUUCAUCAAUUUAUAUAUAUAGCACACAGAGGUCCUGUUGUAGCAGGCCAUGCAUAACGUCCAUGCUUGAAUGGAAACGGUUUUGUUUGUAAAUAACAGAUUCAAGUUCGGCUAAUCAUUAGUUAACAGUGUUGUGUUACUUUUAGCGCUGUCUCAAUAUAUAAUUGUUACUAUUUGAUUAUUGUUAUUAUUAUUAUCACUAUAGUUGUUGUUGUUGUAGUGGUGGAGGUGGUGGCAGCUCUUGUAGUAGUUGUUUUAGUAACGGUGUCGGCGGUGAUGUUCAAUUUUUAAAAGGGUUAGUGGUAACGUCGGAGGCAGCGACCGUCAUUGUUUGUUGUGUUAUUAUUAUACGGCUGUGGUAGCGCUGCUAGUAGCAAUGUUAUUGGCGGGAGUAGAGCGUAGACACUACCCAAACACAUACACACACGGUUUACAUACACACGUGCACAUACAUGUACACACCCACACGCAUAUACAUGUACGUACACACACUCACUUAAUCACACUAAUACACACACACACACACACACACACACACACACAUAUGUACACACAUACACCCACACAUACAGAGUGAGAAAGACGGAGGAGACACGCAUACGCAUCUACAAUUCAGACGUGUUAUUCACUCAUUCAUAUAUAGAUAUGCAUACAUACACACACACACACAUUUGUGUGUAUGUGUGUGCAUAUAUAUAUAUGCACACACACACACACAUAUAUAUAUAUUACACUAUAUCGUAUGUUUGUUUACGCGCUAUCGAUUCUCCCACCGAGUUCACUGGACAUACACACGCAACAUACUGCUUUUAUGCUUUUCUCAGUCGUGGCCGAACCCACAGAUAUCGCCCGAUGCUGGAUCAUCCUAGCUAUUUGAUGGUUUCCUCCCACUCUUUCCCCUCCCACUCACUUUUCUUUUCAUUGUGUCGUCGUCUCUUAGUUAUAUUUUUGAUGCUGCAGCAGUAGUUGUUGAUAUUGUUAGUUUGUUUUGCUUGCUUCUUUCUUUCUUUGUUUUGUUUUGUUUUGUUUGUUGUGUGGCAAAAGCAGUAAAACAAGGUCUGUAAGUUGCGUUCGGAAACACUUUUUGAGUUCAGAUCCUUGCCAAGGUCAACUUUGCCUUUCAUUAUUCCCUUCCUGUCAGAUACUAAAAUCGAUAUAAUCGAUUUUUCUCUCUGCCAAAUUGUGUGGUCUUGUGCCUAUUUGCAGCACGUCGUAAUAAUACCGCCCCCAACACUACCAUGACAACCACCACUAUUUCGUACCCUUGAGGCAAAUAAGAACAUCCAGUAUCAUCAUCAUCAUCAUCAUCAUCAUCAUCAUCAUCAUCAUCAUCAUCAUCAUCAUUAUUAUUAUUAUUAUUAUUAUUAUUAUUAUUAUUAUUAUUAUUAUUAUUAUUAUUAUUAUUAUCAAGGCGGGAAGCUGGAGGAAUGGUUUGCACGGUGGGCAAAUUGCUCGUUGGUAUUUCAUUCGUCUCAACGAUUUGAGUUCAAAUGCCGCCGAGGUCAACUUUGCCUUGCAUCCUUUCAGGGUCGAUAAAAUAAGUCUCAGUUGAACACUAGGGGUCGAUGUAAUCGAUAAUGCCCUUCCCCGACAUUACUGGUUUUGUGCAGAAAUUUGAAAUUAUUAUAAUCAUCAUCAUCAUCAUCAUUUAUGUCAUAUUCAUGAAAUGUUUGUCUUCCGACAGUAAGUUAAACAUGAUUUUAUUUGUGCUACCCGCGUUAUGAAAAAAGCAAGAAAUCAUUGAUUUUACAUAUAUAUAUAUAUAUAUAUAUAUAUAUAUAUAUAUAUAUAUAUAUAUAUAUAUAUACAUAUAUAUAUAUGUGUGUGUAUAUAUAUAUAUAUGUUUGUAUGUAUAUAUAUAUAUAUGUAUAUAUAUAUAUAUAUAUAUAUGUAUAUAUAUAUGCAUAUAUAUAUAUGUAUAUAUAUAUGCAUAUAUAUAUAUAUGUAUAUAUAUAUGCAUAUAUAUAUAUGAAUAUAUAUAUAUGCAUAUAUAUAUAUAUAUAUAUAUAUAUAUAUAUAUAUAUAUAUAUAUAUACAACCACUAAGGACAUAGGUUCGUCAAAAACAUAUGUGGGUCUCACAGAGGGGAAUUUUAAAACCAGGUUCAACAAUCAGACCUUGAGCUUCAGACGCUAAGAUAAAAGAAAAACGACCAAAUUAUCCAGUUAUAUAUGGUCCUUAAAAGAAAAAGGUGUCAGUUACAACAUCCAUUGGAAGAUCUUAGCCAAGUGUAAGCCUUACACCAACGGCAGUGGAAAGUGCGGUCUUUGUGAUUUGAAAAUAAGGCUCAUCUGGAAAAGCAGCUUAGACACCGCUACAUGUCUAAAUUCAAGAACUGAACUUUUUGGAUCAUGUCCAUACAUCGCUGAAUAUUUGUUACGUCUUUGGUCCCCCAAUACAUGUGUAUAGUUGCAUAUAUAUGUAUACAUAUAGGUGUGUGGGGGUGUGCAUGUAUGUGUUUCACGCGAGUGUGAGUGAGCAUAUGCAUAUAGGCACAUGCACGUGAGUGUGCGUACGUGGGUGAGCAGAUUUCCGCCUCAACAUCUGAAACUCGGAGUUUUAUAAUGGCAACCGAAUAAUUAUCGCAUAUUAUAUUACAGAUAAAUAAAGAUUGAUAGAUAGAUAGAUAGAUAGAUAGAUAGAUAGAUAGAUAGAUAGAUAGAUAGAUAGAUAGAUAGAUAGAUAGAUAGUUAAGUUCAGCCUGUCUAUCAGUCAAUGAAUCGGCCCGUUACUGUCUGUCUCUCUGUCUCUCUUAUUUCCCUCUCUCUGUCUCUCUCUCCCUCUCUGUCUUUCUCUCUUAAAAGACAUAUACAAAAAUUGAAUUUACAGACGACCCCUCCUAACUCCACCAGGUUUACGAAGCAGUUUGGUACACAUUAAAAUUUCUCUCACGGGCCCUCUAUAAAUGUGUGAGUGUGUGUGUGUGUGUGUGUGUGUGUGUGCGUGUGUGUGUGUGUGUGUGCGUGUGUGUGUGUGUGUAUGUGCGUGGGUGUGGGUGUGGGUGUGUGUGUGAAAAUGCAUGGCCUAGUAACGACAGUGUUGCAUUUACGAUCGCAUGAACCUUGUUUCGAUUCCCAGACAGGCUGUGCAAUACCAACUUGAGUAAAAACACCUCAUUUCAUGAUGCUCCAGCCCGCUCAGCUGUAAAUGGGUAACUCUGAAGGGACGGGGGAUACGUUCAGGAGGAAUUUUGACCAGGGUCUCAUUCCAAAGCUAAAAUCAAUGCAAAGCGCAUUGUGACCAGCAAUGUCCAACAAUAUGCGAUAGUCUGGUCGAUACCGUGAUAAUAUAUAUCUCUUAUGAUCUCUUAUGAUAAAAGGCAGUUCCCAUGUUUAUUUUUAAUACAAUUCUACAAUAUAGAAUUUCUUCAAUUGGAAUUUACCUAUGAUUUUUCCAAGUAGAUUCAAUUGGGUCAUGGCAUGUAAAGUUUUUUUCAAUUUGACCCCCAAUUAAGCAAUAAUUCGAGAAAACUCAAUAUUUUACGAUUUACCUCUCUGAUUUCAAGUGGUUUACUCCUGCUAUUACCAUCACAAUUUCUCUUACUUUCUCUUUGCAAGUGUGAAACUAUUAAAGUUAAAGUAUUUAUAUAACAGGGAUGAGCCAUUAAUACUGGUCAUCCUUUUUGCUAGAGGAAGAUCCGCUAUGAUCUUAUAUGCUACACCACUGGUUUUCAAUUCAUAUUAAUCAAAUUAAUAUUCAAUUUUUCAUCCUUAUUAUGUGUGUGUGUGUGUAUUAGCAAUUCGUAUAAAAUUGCAUCAAUGACUUGAACUUGAAUAAGUGGUUUCACAUAAAUGGGGAUAAAUUAAGAAGGUUUGUUAUUAUUAUUAUUACUGUUUGACUAUUGUAGUCACGUUUGUUGGUUCCUCGUCAGGUAAACGUUGCAUUUGUUAAAUAAUUGUAAACUGUAACACUCCCCCUUUCGGAGAAGGGGCUUUGGUUAUUGUUUAAAAAUUGAAAUGUGUCCCUGUUUCGGGAAAUUGACAAUAUUUUCACCGUCUUUACGGAAGCAUUUUUGUUAAAAUGCCUUCGAUACAAGAAAGUCCAAAACUGAAUUUCGCUGCAGCCGUACACUUCUAUACAAGAGGGAGGACAAGAUCCAAUUGAUCGAAAUUGCAAGAGAUAGGCCUACAAUUCCAGUCUGUUAUAUAUUUUGAGUAUUGUUAUCACUAGCGAUAUCAAGAUAUAACUUAGUAUUUUGUAUUUUAUGUGUAGAUGUAUAUAUAUAGAUGUACAUGUAAUAUGUACACAUAUAUAUAUACACAUAUAUACAUGCAUAAUAUAUCUACCCAUACACACAUACGCACACACACACAUACAUAGGGGCAGGUGUGGCUGUGUGGUAACAAACUACGUUCCAAACACAUGGUCCUGGGUUCAGUCCCACUGUGUGAUGACCUGGCAUGUGUAGGCACAAACACUCUGUCUUCACAUUUGCUGCGUGAGACAUGUUUUAGUGUUGACGAGCUUGCCGAGUACAUAGCCGACAAUGAGCCAAAGCUCCUUCCAGAACAGAAGUUCGCUUACAACUCCGUUGUUAAUUCAGUCCGGGCCAAAGCUGGGGGAUUUUUUCCUGGACGCUCCUGGGGGCACUGGGAAAACUUUUGUCAACAAAUUAAUAUUGGCUGAGAUUAGGCAAACACAAGGCAUUGCCCUAGCUGUGGCAUCAUCUGGAAUUGCGGCUACUUUGUUGCCAGGCGGCAGGACAGCUCACUCCACUUUCAAGCUCCUGCUUGACUUAGCGAAGACUGAGACACCAACUUGCAACAUCAGUAACAGCUCCGAUCAGGCAGAAGUCUUCAGACGAUGCAAGCUUAUCGUUUGGGAUGAAUGCACGAUGGCCCACAGACGUGCUCUUGAGGUACUAGAUAGAUCUCUCAGAGAUAUCAAACACUCUUCAGCUCCCAUGGGAAGCAUAACACUUCUUCUUUCAGGGGACUUCCGACAAACACUUCCCGUUAUUUCCAAAGGGACUACAGCUGAUGCAGUAAGUGCGUGUUUUAAGUCAUCCACAUUGUGGCCACUCUCAAACUUUACACCAAUAUGCAUGCUCAUAUGCGAUGUGAUAUCACAUCAGCAGCAUUUUCUCACACCCUCCUUGCACUUGGCGAAGGCAAAAUACCAGGGGAUGAAAAUGGUAAUAUUGCUAUCGAUUCAAUUUGUACCAUUGUUAAAACGCCUUCUGAUCUCAGAGAUGCAGUGUUCCCAGAUCUACAAGCUAAUUAUCAGAAUAUGGAUUGGAUUGGCCAAAGGGCUAUUCUGGCCCCGAAGAAUAAAACUGUUCACCAUAUUAAUGAUGAAAUGCUAAAACUCAUUCAUGGGGAUGUCUGUGUAUAUAAGUAUAUCGAUACAAUUCCUGACCCAGAAGAUGUCAUCAACUAUCCAACAGAGGUACUCAAUUCCUUUGAGCCCUCCGGACUACCACCACACAUUCUCAAACUUAAAGUUGGUGCCCCUAUAAUGCUCAUUAGAAAUUUGGUUCCCCAAAAACAAUGCAAUGGCACACGUUUGAUCGUUAAGUCCUUAUCUUCCAAUCUGAUUGAGGCCACCAUUAUCACAGGUGCGGUCGAGGCAACGUUGUGCUCAUACCUAGGAUGCAUCUUUUCCCAUCAGGAGCAGACCUACCUUUCAUAUUUCGGAGGUCCCGGUUCCCAGUAAGGCCAUGUUUCGCAAUGUCAAUUAACAAAGCGCAGGGUCAAGCACUGUCUGUGGCGGGAAUACAUUUGGGAGAGCCAUGUUUCUCUCAUGGUCAGCUUUAUGUUGCCUGCUCGCAUGUCGGUAGCAACAGUGAUGCUUUCGCAUUCGUUCCACAACGAAAAACAAAAAACAUUGUGUAUAAGGAGGUUUUAUAGGAUUACGUUUCAUCAUUUUCGAACACGUUAGUAUUUCACUUACAUACGACUCUCUUUUAUGAUGGCACUUACAUUUUUAGGCGUUUCAUGACAUUAAUUCACACUUAACCAACACCUGUCCUUCGCUCACCUCUAUUUCUAUCCAUUCAUCAUCAAACCACCAGUCUCAUCUUCUAUAUCCAACGUACAUGACACAUCUACCCCCUACAUCUACACUCUCACUGUUAAAGUAAACAUAAGCGACAACACGAUCGCAACAUACACUUUGGAAACUAAGCAACAGAUCAUUUUAUACAACAACAAAUUUAAUCAUAACGCCCAUCAAUGAAAACAUCUCCACCACUGUGUUGUGAUUCAUCUAUUCAGCACCACUACAGUCUUGCCGGUCUGACAUAUGGUGAGUAGAUGCUAUUGUUCUAUAUUUUAUAAAUUACCCAUAUUUACUUACCCAUGCUUCAUUCCCUCUUGCCUACAUAGGGCAUCCAUUCUCUUUUAACACAGCAUGAAGUUUUGUAACAGCACAUCCGCUGCCGUUCGUGGAAAACGAAGAGACCCUAUUCACCUGCGAACGUUUUACACCGCCUUCCACGACUAUCAAAUUCUUACAAUUAUGAGAACAAUAACAUGGCUCUUUUCAGGGCAACCUCACAUUCAAUUCUUACACCAUUCUACGAGGGGUUAGGAACUCAUUUACACGGCUUUCUAUACACUUACAAAUACAUUCAUUCGCCGUAAACUUAUAUCAAUAUUUGCCUGAAUAAUCAUCAUAAUUCAGUGCAAUCAUUAACAGUACUUUCAAGCAAUUCAGCCCCGAGCAUCGCCGGGCAAUUCUGCUAGUAUAUAUAUAUAUAUAUAUAUAUAUAUAUAUAUAUAUAUAUAUAUAUAUAUAUAUAUAUAUAUAUAUAUAUAUAUAUAUAUAUAUAAUGAUGAUGAUGAUGAUGAUGAUGACGGUAAUGACGAUGAUGAUGAUGAACUAAUAAGAUGUUGUGUAGGCUAAUAAUUACUGGUGUAAACUUUCGCUUAAGUUCAAAGCAAGAUUCUGCAUGUUUAGUACUUUGGAGAAAUCCUUAUGCAUAUACGUGUGUAUAUAUGUAUGUGUGUGCGUGUGUGUGUGUGUGUACAUUUGUAUGUUUGUGUAUGUGCGUAUGGAUAGAUGGAUAGAAUUAUAUGAGCUUAUACACUAGGCUACGAAGAUAGACAACCAUGUCUAGAACUAAAAAAACUGAAAAUCCAUUUUAAAUUCUGCUCUCUCUACAUCCCUGCAUUCCCGAGAACAGAAUAAUCAAAUUUAGCACGGACAACUCCUUUUAACUGAAAACAGAGCUAGUCUCAUAUUAUAGGCAGUGCUUAUUUAUUGAAAAACUUCCUUAACUUUACAAAUAAAUGCAUGAAAUGGAAAUUUAUAUGCGCAAGUCAAAUUUUGCAACACCACUACAUAACAUAUGAAAAAUGACAUCGCAGAAGAUCUCACACAUGGUCCCAGCAAGAUGGGGCAACUGCUCAUACCGCCAGAGAAACAAUGCAGUUGCUACCGCAGUGCUUUGUAGAGAGAAUAAUCUCGCGCCACGGCAAUGUCAACUGGCCUUCAAGUUCCCCAAACUUUACUAAUCCGGGUGAUUUUUUCUUGUGGGAAUACCUGAAAGAGAGGGUUUACAUCAACAAACCGGAGACCAUGGUGCAACUGAAGGAGAACAUCAAUAGAUAAAUCAGCGAAGUGGGGUCUGAAAUUCUUGAGGGUGUUAUGGUGCAAGUUUUGGAAAGAAAAUGGGCGUGCGAAGCCGAAAAUGGCAGCCAUUUAAGCGAUGUCAUUUUUCAUACGUGAGGUAGUGGUGUUGCAAAAUGUGACUUGUGCAUAUUAAUUUCCAUUAUGUCCUUUAUAUUGUAUCAAAUUUCAUGAAUUUAUUUGUAAAGUUAAGGAAGUUAUUAAAAAUUGAAACCCAUCAGUGUUUAAGCUUGAAUCAUUUAAGCACCACUAAGUGUCUUCUAUACUGAGAAUCUCUGGAUCUUAUUUGUGGACAAUAUAUAUAUAUAUAUAUAUAUGUGUGUGUGUGUGUGUGUGUAUGUAUAUGCUCCUUGUGGAGUUUGACUUCUUCUUGUACCUAUAAUUGCUCUUUCUUAGUAUGAGGUCUUAAAUUACUUUUGAGCCCUGAAAAUCCUGAUCACAUAUACUGCAGCAAUGUCUCAUUUUAGCACUGGUUCUAUUUUCCGCUUGUUUAUUAUGGAUGUUCAAGUGCCGCUUCAAACCUCCACACAGUACCUGUGCAAUCGCAUACAUGCAUAAAGGGUUUCCGUCACGUUCAACGACGAGUGAUUAUUUGUUCUUGAAUUAACGAUAGAAUGACUGAGCAACAUGCGCACCCUCAACAUAAUUUUCCGGCUGAAUCUGCGUGACACAGUAUGUAACAAGGGUGUAUUAUUUUUAUAACAGGGUACAAUUGACCCAAUAGGCUUCGAUGUAUUGUCCGCCAAUCCCAUGACAUUCACAAGGUAAUGGUCGAUUCGAGGCCAUAGAAAAUUACACUUGCCCCGACGCCAUGCAGUGGGAUCGAACCCGGGACCUUGUAGCUGUGAGGCGAAUUUUUUUAACUAUUUGACUAUAGACAUGCGAACAUGCACGUACAUGCAAACGAUAUGUAAUAUGUGCAUUCAUCCACACUGUGCAAGCACACCGUGAUUUUUAAGCAUCCAUGCAUGUGCGCAAGUGCCCGAGUCUGUUUCCUCUCUCUCUCUCUGUAUGUGUGUGUGGAGGGUUGUAUGUAUGUAUGUAUGUAUGUAUGUAUGUAUGUAUGUAUGUAUGUAUGUAUGUAAUUGCACUAGCGGGCGGAAUCAUUAGCACCUCGAGUAAAAUACUUAGCGAUAUUCGUCCGUCUUUACGUUCUGAGUUGAAAUUCCGCUGAGGUCCACUUUGCCUUUAAUCCUUUCAUGAUCGAUAAAAACAAGUACCAGUUGUGUACUGGGGUCAAUGUAAUUGACUUACCCACUCCGCCGAAAUUGCUGGUCUCGUGCCAAAAGUAGAAACAUAUACAAAUAUAUAUUUGUCAUUUCAUGAACCGCCAGUUUACGCUACGUGGAUACCCCCUCACCGUUAUGCAAACUGCUCUCGCCCGUGCACGAUCCGUUGACCGUGCACCAGUUCAUUUUUACCCAUCUUUUUCCCCCUCUCACUUACUACCUCUCCACUCCUGACCCUUCAACAAUCUUCGGGCCUUCCGCCGACUCCAAUCUGUCUCCAAUCUGACUCCUCCACUUCCCGCAUCUUCCCCAAACGAGUCUUUCUCUUCUUCAAACGCCCACAUACUAUUUGACCUGGUCGGUCCGUGACUACUUCUACACUCCUGGCACCCAGCCUGGCUCCUUCCCUUGCCCUCGCUCACGCUAUCGCACCUACUCCUACCUCUGAAACACCACCACCCACACUGGUACCCACCAUCGCCCCUAUCAGAUCACCGAUUCAUUUACCAGCACCUCAAGCAAUGUUAUCUACUUUAUCUCCUCUGUCUGUCUUUUCCUGUACAUUAGUCAAACGAGAUGACGUUUAGCCGACCGGUUCGCCAAACAUUUUCAGACAUAAAGACUCGGCAACGAAACCUCGGUCUCGCACCGCUUCCGCUCGACUGGUCAUUCGUUACAACAUCUGUCUAUGUUCGAACUGUCUCUACACAGAGGCUACCAAGACUCCUGCCUCCGUCGAGAGCAAGAAUUGAUUCCCUCCAUUUUUAUAUAUUCCUAAUUGUCUAAAUUCGUCACUCUUCUUCAUCUAAACCCACCCCUACACACAUUCACUCACACCUCUUCCACUUGCCGUCCUUCUUCAUCCCCACACCUGUACACCGUUUAACUCAGUACCCACAUCACACACACCAUUAUGCAAACACAUACACACACUCACACGCACAUGCACAAGCACACCCACACUCCUUUCCACUCCACACACACUAGUACCAAACACAUACCAACCCUUACCUCUCGUCUCUCCUUCCCACUUCGCACCUCCAUGAAUCCCCUUACAAUACGCACAUAUACGCCCAAACACACAUACGUUUACACACACAUGCAUCUGAAAGCAUUACGCACACUAUGCACAGCCUCACACACUCCCACACAUACACACACUUCCACACACACACACUCACAUACAAAUAAUACGGAGAGCACAUUACUCCAUGCAACGCACAUACUUGUUUACUUAUACAUAUACAUACAUACGUUUUCAUACGCUCACACACACACAUACACACACACGCAUACACUCCUUCCUAACUUUACCACUAUUGCUGUUUAGAAUAACACCUACACAAAUUUUAUAAACAAAACAUUCAAACGAGAUGUCUCAAGAAUUCAAUCACUACUACCAUCCACAACGGGUCACUUUCAGGGCUCUUGAGCAUUUAACAUACUACUAUCAUGGCAUUGCCGCAUUCUUCUUCUUCUUCUUCUUCUUCUUCUUCUUCUUCUUCUUCUUCUUCUUCUUCUUCUUCUUCUUCUUCUUCUUCUUCUUCUUCUUCUUCUUCUUCUUCAUCCCUACCAAGAAUUCAUAACUACCUCUAACCCAAAAGAGUAAACGAGACAGGCAGGAACAAGGAAAAUGCCCCUUACUAUACAAAUAUUCCUUUAAAGAACUUUUCUUUUAAUUUUUCCAAAAUUUAAUUGUUUUCAUACUUGCUGUUGAAAAAGUCUCAAUGACUGAAACCGGUACGGAAAUGUUUUUUCAUAAAAUUAUUUUAGCAUUUUCUACCUUUAAUUUUUUUCCAUAUAUAUCAACUUGUGUGUUUCUUUUCAAUCUGAUAUAUAUAUAUAUAUAAUACCUUAUUCUGGUAUAGCCACCGAAGUUGUUUCCACAGAAGAAACAACAUUACCUUCAACGUAAGGAAAGCGAAAUACAACGAAAAGAUAGAUUAAUGCUGAACAAUUGUUUCUUUAUCAACAUAAUAUGCAAUUAUACUCACAUAUUUGUCUAUAAGUCAUCGGCAGCAUUUGUCCUCGAUACAAUUUAUCAGACCCUCACGGGCGAUAAAUAUCCAUGCGGUCUGAUCAAUUGCAUACAUAGUUGUGGUUUAGCUUCCCGCCAGAUAUGUUUUAUGUGUGCAUGUACACGCGUUUCUGUAGCUAGCUAGCUAGAUAGAUAGAUAUAUAGAUAGAUAGAUAGAUAGAUAGAUAGAUAGAUAGAUAGAUAGAUAGAUAGAUAGAUAGAUAGAUAGAUAGACAGACAGACAGACAGAUAGAUAGAUAGAUAGAUAGAUAGAUAGAUAGAUAGAUAGAUAGAUAGAUAGAUAGAUAGAUAGAUAGAUAGAUAGAUAGAUAGAUAGAUAGAUAGAUAGAUAGAUACUUUAGAAGUAGAAGACAGAAUACUGUUCUGUAACCUGAGUUAUAUAUAAUUGAUUGGAAGCUGAAAAUUCACAAAUCAUUACUCUUUAUUCCAGGUUUCUCGGUUCCGAUGAUCAGACGAUUAUGGAAAGUAGAAGUUAAUAAUGGUGUAAAAAGGCAUGAAGGAGAGUUAUGGAAAUAGUAAGGUAAUAUUUAUUAAAUGAGGGAAACGAGAGACCUUCGUAUUUGAUCAUAUAAUCGUUGUGUACAAAACAAAGAAAAGGAGAGUGGCAUUUGACGGUUACAACAGAGAAGAAAUAAGUGAGAGAGAGAAAUCAGUGUAAAUUCGUAAAUCUAUAUAUAAAGCUGAAGUUGUCUGUGUAUGGCAGGUUUGGUAGCUUUCAACUAACAAUAUCUCCUCCGAGACCCUGCGGCGCAAGUUGACCAAAAUUGAGAGUAUGAUAGAAAGCUUGCUCUUCAUUCCGUAGAAGAUAAAAUUCAAAUUGGACCAUGUUAACACCAAAAAUUAUUUACAUCAAAAAGGUGCUUUUUUACUAUGAAAAUCCCUAUUUUUUACGAUUUUUUGACUGCUGUGUCACCAUUUUUCAGUGUAUUUCAACCAGAAAAAUGUUCACUUAAAGAGAAUAACAAGCUACAUAAUGCAAAAUCUUUACUUUUUAAAAAUUCCAAUUCUAAAGGUUCGAAACAAACCCGAGCAACGCCGGGCGAUACUGCUAGUAUAUAUAUAUAUAUAUGUGUGUGUGUGUGUGUGUGUGUGUGUGUGUGUGUAUGUGUUGGAAAUAAUAGAAUGAUAGGAUCUUUAAAAAUACGCCGACAUUAAAUCAUGCGUAAAUAUUUAAAUACAAAGGAAAAGAGCGAUUGCUGCAAAAGAAAGGGAAAUGAAAAUAAAAGUAAAUUAUAAAGGAUAAAAGAAUUUUUAUAUUUAGAAAGAAACGAGAUGGAAAGUGCGCAUAAGCAAGACUGUUAAACUGUUUAAAGGAAGUAGUUUGAAAAAUUAAAAAUACAAUGAUGAAGUAUUUGAAAUUUUCAACGGAAGAAGCCGAGAAAUGUGUCAAAAUAUCUCAGCGAAAAUCCAAUUGUUGAGACACGAAUUGAAACGUUUGGCGAGUUGAUAAUUGCAAACUAACUAUUCAGAAGCGUUUCUGCAUGAAUUUGAAUGAUCAGUUCAUUCGUUUAGUCCGUACGAUCUUUAACUAAAUUCAUGUGUAUAUGGUGCAGCUUAUUCCGAAAUAAUUCAUUUUCAGUUUUUAAAUGCAAUUUGGACAAAUUGUUUAAUGUCUACCUUGGAAGCUAACAAUAAACUGAACAAAGCAAAUAUAAUAGGAUUUUUAUCUAAGGCAUUUUUCUUUUAAAUUUUUGUACCUUACUCACCGUAGAAGAUACGACUGGCACUUUUCUCAAGCCGUAUAUUUGGUCAUGAAUUAUAUAAAAUAAGAAAAGAUCUUAUGAAAUUCUUUAAAGAUAUAGAGAUGAGAAUUGCAGUUCAUACUAUUCUUAUUUUUUGUUUUUUAUAUCACUUUAAACUGACAUACAAAUAUCUUCUAUUUGCAGCAAAAAUCUAAUUUAAAAUUAUUUUACUUUAAUAUGAAUUUUAAUGACCAGCCCAAUAUUCUGUCACUAACCUGUAUUCAAAUAACGUUCGUCAGCAUUUCUCAAUGAGGCUUUCAGUAAUGAUAGCGUCUGAGAUAAAUUUAUAUAUAUAUAUAUAUAUAUAUAUAUAUAUAUAUAUAUAUAUAUAUAUAAAUUCAAAUUUAUUUAAAAUUUUAUUUCUUUUUCUUUUGUCUUGCUCGAUUACGUUUGGUUAUUUUGCUAUAUUUUUCUUGAGAACAUUUCUUAGUGGUAAGACCAUAGCGGAUCUAUUUCUAACAUAAGGGUGUCCACAUAGUGGUUUCCCUCUAAUAUGUAUAUAUAUGUAUAUAUAUAUAUAUAUAUAUAUAUAUAUAUAUAUAUAUAUAUAUAUAUAUAUAUAUAUAUAUAUAUAUAUAAAAUCUUCCAGGCUGUUACAAAUCAGAAAAAUAAAAGACGAAAUAUGCUAUGGUACAGUCUAGCUUUUAGCUUGAAAGUAAAUAUUGCCAAAUAAUUCAUAAUUUAAAUUUCUUUCCACUUGCGACGAAUCAUAAAUUCAAACUUACCUAUACUUGCUGUAAAAAUUUUAUUUGCCCACUUAACCAUUCCGAUUUAAUAGCACUCUGCAAUAUCAAUAAUUCUGUGUCUUCCUUACACGUAAGUUCAUUCCUCUAAAUAAUUGGCCUGCCAACAGCAAUUGCCUCCAUAAAAUCAAUUCAUCAAUUUGUUAUGCUAAAAUGCAACAACGUGACGAUAUUAUGUUUAAGCUUUAUAGAAGUUUAACUACAAAGUAUAUUUGUUUCUCUACAAAAAGUAAUGCAACUGCAUUUAGAAUUAAAUAUUGUACUGUAUUCGCAUAGAUCCUUCGAAUCAAACUUGUAUUGUAAAGUGUUCAUAAAGAAGUUUGUAUUUUAUUGCAAGAAACGAUGCAUUAAACGACAGACCAAAACCUUUAAGUCCCGGCAAACAUACUUAUAAACAAUUCCUUUGUAAUUAUCUACCGCUUGAUUUUCCUCUGAAUAAUACUAUUCGACGAUCUUUAUGCACCACUUACAUUUUUUUUAUUAAAGAUUUUAAAUAGUGACUGUGUGGUAAGUAGUUUGCUUACCAACCACAUGGUUCCGGGUUCAUUCCCACUGUGUGGCACUUUGGGCAAGUGUCUUCUACUAUAGCCUCGGGCCGACCAAAGCCUUGUGAGUGGAUUUGGUAGACGGAAACUGAAAAGAAGCUUUUCGUAUAUAUGUAUAUAUAUAUGUGUGUGUGUGUGUGUGUUUGUGUGUUUGUGUGUGUGUGUGUGUGUGUGUGUAUAUGUUUGUAUGUCUGUUUGUCCCCACCAACAUCGCUUGACAACCGAUGGUGGUGUGUUUACGUCCCCGUAACAUAGCGGUUCGGCAAAAGAGAUCGACAGAAUAAGUACUAAGCUUCCAAAGAAUAAGUCCUGGGGUCGAUUUGCUCGACUAAAGGCGAUGCUUCAGCAUGGCCGCAGUCAAAUGACUGAAAGAAAUAAAAGAGUAAAAGAGUAAAAUAUUGCAUUUGUAUAUUUUUAAUGUUUUAAAUUAUAUACUUUCCAUAGUUUAGCUAUCUUGCACACUUUUUCUAUAACCAUUCAUUAAAAGAAAUUUUAAACCUUCUUCGUCUCUUAUACGCUCAAUAAUUUACAGUCAUCCUUUCUUUUGAUUCUCACAUCUUUUUACAUUCGUAAAUUCAUAUCUUCCAUAUUUUCUUUCCUUUUUCGGUACACAUAUUUAUAUAUAUCUACGCAUUUACACCAAGUCUUUCCUUCUCGAAGUCAACUCUUUUUUCAUAUUCUUGCCAACAAACCCACCUCUUAUCCCAUCAUUUCGAAUCCAACGACUGCAUGAUAAAUCUAUAAGGUUUCGGGCAUUACUACAUUCUAUACUUGUGUACGCACAUACAUAUAUGUAUGUAUGUAUGUAUGUAUGUAUGUAUGUAUGUAUGUAUGUAUGUAGUGUUUGAAGUGGUGUACAGAUAUUGUAAAUUCAGAAAUAUGAGGCAAUUAGAAUUUUGGAUAAUUCUUUAUUAAUGCUUUCGUUCGUUUACCGAAUGCCUCAAAAUAACGAGUUCAAUAAACGAGCGGACGCGCUAAUAAAGAAUUAUCCAAAAUUCUGACUGCCUUCUUUUCUCAAUAUGUGUGCGUGUGUUUGUGUGUGUGGUGUAGAUAGAUAAAUGUGUAUGCUUGUACAAUCCCAAAUAUCGUAAUCUUUUUUUAUUUGCAUUGUUUUGUGGUGAAUAAAAGAUUAAUCAUCACCUAUAUGUUAAUAUAAUAUCACCUUCCAACCGAUCUACCUUUUGAUAGAUAGAUAGAUA
rnacentral:lncRNA from 1 species